AUAUCUUUGGCAGGAAAGAGGGGUGAAUCGGCUGUCCACCCCUUGCCUUGCCUCCACUGAAAGCCGCAAAAGCUGCUCCUCUGUUGGCAGCUGACAUCACGCAUGCGCAGAUCACCAUGAAGACCAGUACCAACAACGUGCAUAUGCAGAAUGGCACAGAGACUUUGGUGCGCACAUUAUGCAUGCGCAAAACACUGAGGAGAUUUCGGUGUGGACAUCAGCACAUGUGCAGAAUGAAGCAUGUGAACCCAUGAUCCCCGCUGGAAUCGCACUAUUGAAAACAGAGGUUGAAAGGUUCAGACAUCCUGUUGCUGGUACUUUUCAGCACCAGAAAAUAUACUAAAUUCAUCACUGUGGAAUAAAUUUAUCAAUCUCAUGCUCCCAGCAGGGAUAUUCACCUCCAAGGCUGAGGGAAGAUGGUGCUAUAGUACAAAUAUCACUGGAUUAUCAUCUAGAACCUCAAGCUAAUGUUCUGGAGACAUGGAUUCAAAGCCCGUCAUGACAUAUGGUGAAUGCAAUAAAAAUCUGGAAUAAAAGGCUAGCCU